rnacentral:rRNA from 1 species
AACGAACGCUGGCGGCAGGCCUAACACAUGCAAGUCGAGCGAGGACUUCGGUCCUAGCGGCGGACGGGUGAGUAACGCGUGGGAACGUGCCCUUUGCUACGGAAUAGCCCCGGGAAACUGGGAGUAAUACCGUAUGUGCCCGAGAGGGGAAAGAUUUAUCGGCAAAGGAUCGGCCCGCGUUGGAUUAGGCAGUUGGUGGGGUAAUGGCCUACCAAGCCGACGAUCCAUAGCUGGUUUGAGAGGAUGAUCAGCCACACUGGGACUGAGACACGGCCCAGAGUCCGACGGGAGGCAGCAGUAGGGAAUCUUAGGCAAUGGGGGAAACCCUGAUCUAGCCAUGCCGCGUGAGCGAUGAAGGCCUUAGGGUUGUAAAGCUCUUUCAGUGGGGAAGAUAAUGGCGGUACCCACAGAAGAAGCCCCGGCUAACUACGUGCCAGCCGCCGCGGUAAUAC